UUAAAUUUCCAUUACAUGUGAAACGUAAACGCGUUGUAUUUCCCCUCUUAAUAGCUGUGAAAGUUCUAUCUUACACUGGAUAUCUUGUGCCAGCCCCUCGUAGGGCGGAGUUUUUCUUACAAGCCUUCAUGACCGACUUCCACUCAUUCAGGAGAGAUUGGUGCUAAAAGAUGCCAAAGGACUGUAUCUGCUGGUUGCUAUGGUGGAGUUCAACAAGCACACCCUUUGAAAUCAACUGAAAACUUUGAUUUCAAUUUUCAAAAGGCCCGAAUUUUUUCCAGCAAAGCAAGAAUCACAAGAGAAGACUUCAAACCUUACUGAACAACUGAUAGAGGUUUGGGAGCUUUCCGGACUCUUGGCAAUGCGGUGGUUAACAAGGAUUUGACAUAAUCUUGUGUCCUUUUUCUUCACAUGUUCAAAAUGCUGGGACUGGGUGUUGAAGGAGUGUAUUCCUUCAAUCCUUUGUUCACCAUGGAAUCCAUUGUUGAAGAAAAGGUCAAACAUGUUCUUCUAGCAUAUGGAGCCUUGGUGUGAUCAUCAUGUCUGGGAAUUUUUCCCUAAUGAACAGAAGAAAAUUUGUGAUGUCUUCCUCUGCAACAAGAAAAGGUGGAACAGACUUAAGACAUGAUCUUAUUAUUGAAUUCAUGUUUUUCAUAAAAGUGAGGUUCUUUCUUUCACUUACCUAGCUUAUCAAUCUUGCCAUUAUUGAGAUAGUCAGCACUUUCAUAGACUAAGUGGCAAGCAGCAAAUAACUUGAAAACUUGUUUAAAUUUAACACUAAUUUCUCUUGCUUGAGAAAGGAAGGAAGGACAGCUCCUCUGUUUUUUGUCACCACAGUACUGCAUAGUUAAAUGAUAUUGUCUUCCUACCAAAAAAGGAACCUGCAACAGUUUAAUAGAAUUUUGUGAGUCAACAAUUUCCUUCUCUGAGGGUAGGAUUUGUGUUACCUUGCAGAAAGUGUGUACAUGGUUACCAAUUAAUGAUUUUCCAUGGUAAGCUUGUCUCUUGACAUUCAUUUUCUUGAGAACCUCAUCCAAAUGAACUGAUAAUGGUCCAUUGACUUUCUCAAAGGCAGCCAAUUCCAUUUGUUCAUCCAAAAGCUUUUCCUAUAAUGUUGAGAUAAUACUUUUUAAAUCUUGCUGUUAAUAGUUUGUUAAAUUCAUUUUAGCUAGUGUCAUGUCAUAAAUAAAUGAUCUGUAAAACAAAAUCAUACCUUCUUCAAAUGAAAAAUUAAGAUGGGUUUGAAACUUGUGCGAUGGAAUUGGAGGAUUGUACAGCUGUUAUACUGGAAAACACAAAUAUAUUAUUGCUACCUCCUCCUUUGCAUUUCCAAGGAGUUUGUCUAUCUCCUCCUGUAGUAGUGUAAAGUAGGCAGGCAUGAUAUGAACAUUAGCAUGCAGACUUUGUAAAUUCAGCAACUCCUGUAAAGAAUUGGCUUUUUUAUGAAAUUUUUGUGCCUGUCUAGUAUGUAGUUGGGCAGCUCUGAAUGCCUGGAUCUUUUCGUCAUUCUCUUCACUGUCUCCUGCCAGCAUCAUUUGAAUUUUUUUGUCCAGUGCAAAGCACUGGUUCUCUAGUUCAUCAAACAGUUUCUUAAACACACCCAAGCUAAUGUGAAGUCCAGGAACACAAACCUGAAAUAGAGAACCAUUUAGUUACGUGUCCUUUAUGUCCCUCUU